UCACCUACGGGGGGCAGCAGUCGGGAAUUUUGGGCAAUGGGCGAAAGCCUGACCCAGCAACGCCGCGUGAAGGAUGAAGUUUUUCGGAAUGUAAACUUCGUAAGAAUAGGAAGAAUAAAUGACGGUACUAUUUGUAAGGUCCGGCUAACUACGUGCCAGCAGCCGCGGUAAUACGUAGGGACCAAGCGUUGUUCGGAUUUACUGGGCGUAAAGGGCGCGUAGGCGGCAAUUCAAGUCAGCUGUGAAAUCUCCGGGCUUAACUCGGAACGGUCAGCUGAUACUGUUUUGCUAGAGUGUAGAAGGGGCAAUCGGAAUUCUUGGUGUAGCGGUGAAAUGCGUAGAUAUCAAGAGGAACACCAGAGGUGAAGACGGGUUGCUGGGCUGACACUGACGCUGAGGCGCGAAAGCUAGGGUAGCAAACGGGAUUAGAUACCCCGGUAGUC
rnacentral:rRNA from 1 species